CUGCCUGCACUUUCUAUUUCUGCAGAGAUCAUCAUGCCCAGACCCACCAAAGUCCUCAUUGGGCUUCUGGAUCACUGUUGCGAGGUUUGCAGGUAUUUCCUGGUACAUACGUUAUUAGCCUGGACACCAGAAUGAAUCCAGCAGCACCCCUCACAGAGCAUUUCCUUGGAACACACGACCGGAGGAAGUCAUUCAGACACCAUGCCACCCAGCAAACCAUUUACGAGAAGCCCACACGUCUUCACAAAGGAUUCAAGCCCUCCUGUGGAAACCAUGGACCUAUGGAAGGAGACUUACUUGGAAGCCCUAACUGAAGCCUGAAGGAGGGAGAAAAUCUUG
rnacentral:lncRNA from 1 species